rnacentral:lncRNA from 1 species
GGCUUGUUUUCCCGGCUAGGCUCUGGAGCGGCGGGCGCGGCGCGAUGCGCGGGUACCCGGGAGCGAACGGCUGCAAGCCCCGAUGAAGCUCGAGCAGCCCCAGCCUGAUGGAGGCGCCUCCGUGGGAGCCGGUGCGCAAUGACUCCCUGCCUCCCACGCUGAGCCCCGCGGUGCCGCCCUACGUGAAGCUCGGCCUCACCGCGGUCUACAACCGUCUUCUACGCGCUCCUCUUCGUGUUCAUCUAUGCGCAGCUCUGGCUGGUGCUGCGCUACCGUCACAAGCGGCUCAGCUACCAGAGCGUCUUCCUCUUCCUUUGCCUCUUCUGGGCCUCGCUGCGUACCGUGCUCUUCUCCUUUUACUUCCGAGACUUCGUGGCAGCCAACUCGUUCAGCCCCUUCGUCUUCUGGCUGCUCUACUGCUUCCCCGUGUGUCUACAGUUCUUCACCCUCACGCUCAUGAACUUGUACUUCACGCAGGUGAUUUUCAAGGCCAAGUCAAAAUAUUCUCCAGAGCUACUCAAAUACCGGUUACCCCUCUACCUGGCCUCACUUUUCAUCAGCCUCGUUUUCCUGUUGGUGAAUCUGACCUGUGCUGUGCUGGUGAAGACGGGAGACUGGGACAGGAAGGUUAUCGUCUCUGUGAGAGUGGCCAUCAAUGACACACUCUUUGUGCUGUGUGCUAUCUCUCUCUCCAUCUGCCUCUACAAAAUCUCCAAGAUGUCCCUGGCGAACAUCUACUUGGAGUCAAAGGGCUCAUCAGUGUGUCAGGUAACUGCCAUUGGUGUCACCGUCAUCUUGCUCUACGCCUCUCGGGCCUGCUACAACCUGUUCAUCUUGUCAUUUUCUCAGAUCAAGAACGUCCAUUCCUUUGAUUAUGACUGGUACAAUGUAUCCGACCAGGCAGAUCUGAAGAGCCAGCUGGGUGAUGCCGGCUACGUAGUGUUUGGCGUGGUGCUUUUCGUGUGGGAGCUCCUACCCACCACCUUGGUGGUUUAUUUCUUUCGAGUCAGAAAUCCCACGAAGGAUCUUACCAAUCCUGGGAUGGUCCCCAGCCAUGGAUUCAGUCCCAGAUCUUACUUCUUUGACAACCCCCGAAGAUAUGACAGUGAUGAUGACCUUGCCUGGAACAUUGCCCCUCAGGGACUUCAGGGAAGGACCUCUCCGAGCCUACCCAGAGAGAGCCAGGGCAUGUGCUGCUCCACUCACUCACUGGAACGUGAUCUGGGACAUCCAGGCAGACCUCUUGGAUCCUCUUCUAAAGCCAGAGAAUAUAUGAACAAUUAUCACUAGAUUUUGCUCCAGACUACUGUGAUUGGGGACAACAAAAUAACAGCUUCCUGGCACAAGCAGGAACUUUGCAUCAAGACUCCACUUUGGAUCCAGACAAAGCAAGCCAAGGGUAGCAGCAGCUGACACAGCCCUAUGGAAGAGUUCUCUGUUGACAGCCUUCAGCCAGACAGACCGGAUGACAGCUGAGUUGCUAAGGCAGUUUUCCUUAGGAAACAGAACUCUAGUUUUUGCUAUAGCUUUCUCAUGGCUCCACAGGGCUAAGCAAUAAUUUAGAGCAAUAAACCCUUUAGUACUAGCAGAGAAUCUGGCUAUUUCAGUGGGUAUAAUUUAAACUUAUAAAAGAGAUUCUGUACUUUUAUAAAGAUGUAUUUUAUAUAACUUAAAUACUAAUGCUAAAGUAUACUAGGUUUUUCCUUGAUUGUUAAUUUGUUAAUUGCAACGUAUGUUGUAGUUUGCACAGACUUUCACGCAGAAUUCACUUUAAAACGUAUAGAAUGCGUGGUCUAAUAGUUUAAAGCUUUGGGAAAACUUUCCACAAAUCUUACCUCUGAAGGUUCCUCUUGUGAGUGCCACGUGGUGGGCUCCUUUCACCGCCACUCAAGCAUUCCAAGUUAAGGGGAAGCAGAGUACCACGGUCUGUACGUAACAGGCUCAGCAGCAGCAAUUUCUCGUAAACUCUGUCCUAAGCCUGGUCCUUCUUCAUCUGAAAGCACUACUACAAGCACUCCAGUAACAAGUGGAUACUGUUAAGAUGUAGUUGCUGACACUAUUAAACCUCCUCUGCUGUGUGUGUA